rnacentral:misc_RNA from 1 species
AAGUCGUAACAAGGUCUCCGUAGGUGAACCUGCGGAGGGAUCAUUAACACGUUUUUACAACGUUUUUCAACCAAAAAACUAGAAACCAAGAAGUCAAGAAGAAAGUGAAAAAAGUGCAGUCAGUCAGUCAGUCAUUGAUUGAUUGAUUGUUGCUUUUUUUCUUUUUUCCCCUUUUUGUUUAUUCUUAACCCUUUUCCAAUCCAUAGUCAAAAGUCAAAUGCUAUUCCAGUGUCACUCUGUUAUACUGCAAUAGUUGAUAUCAAAAGCAAAGCACAACUCUUAGCAACGGAUAUCUUGGUUCUC